rnacentral:rRNA from 1 species
CGAACGUGGGUAACCUGCCCAUCAGAAGGGGAUAACACUUGGAAACAGGUGCUAAUACCGUAUAACACUAUUUUCCGCAUGGAAGAAAGUUGAAAGGCGCUUUUGCGUCACUGAUGGAUGGACCCGCGGUGCAUUAGCUAGUUGGUGAGGUAACGGCUCACCAAGGCCACGAUGCAUAGCCGACCUGAGAGGGUGAUCGGCCACACUGGGACUGAGACACGGCCCAG